AUUUGGGGUAGAGUGGGAUGAAGAGAAGAUAGAAAGAAAACAAGUCAAUUUUUGUGACUCCACAAAAAUCUAAGGCCACAAGACAAGCACAAGGAGUAGUGUGGGGCUGUUAUCUCCUAACAAGCAUCUUGUGAGCCUGGAUGAUUUCAUUUUUAUGACUAGCAGCCAUCCAAUAACUAUGCUUGGCACUUGGUACAAAUUGGAUUGAAUCAUCUGGGCCAUUCAGCAACGACUACUUGACUUCUUACUCUCUCAUUUUGUGAAGAAACCACAAGUCUUCAAGUUAAUCUACAAAUCUCCUAGAAUUGGCAAAAGUCUCCCCAUUGUCAACAAGAUAAAGUUGCAUUGCCUUAGUCGGGUAUUUCUGGCCCUCCAUGGUCUAAACACUUGGUCAAUAAUCUGGGUCUUUGAGCUGCUGAAAUAGAUAUAGCUGGUGAAUCUCACUCAGUAAUGAUUUAAUUUGCUGCAAUAUGCAAAGUUUUUGUCAAACACCAAGGCAUCCAAAGAUUUAAUAAAGAUGAAGAAACUGAGUCCCAUAGAAAGGGAGAGUUUUGAAGACCCAAGGUCAAUCAAGAUGAUGGAUAAAGGACAACACCCAGCUGAACUGUUCUAAUAAUCCCUUCCAAACAACUUUAAAAUAGCACCUAAGAGCAAAUUCUGGAGUGGCAGAGCCAUCAACAAGUCUAGGUAAGACAUCUUUCUAGCCUAAGAAAAGACUUAAAAGUUCUCUAAGAGCAAUGUAUGGCAUCAGGGAAGAAGCCUGUCAAGAGCCCACACAUGCAACAACAACAGCAGUCAUAACAGCAGCAGCUUUAGGAACUCAGCCCAGAGAUGGCAAUGGGGUGGGUCACACAACUGGUCAGAAAGAGAUUACAGGAGGCUCUUUGCUGACACUGGGUAAAACUGGCACUGACUGGCAAAUUUAUUGCCCAUAUACAGUUCUGGGUCAUAGUUCUAAGGUAGAGAGGAGUGCUUUGUGCUUGGAUAUAAACAAUCAGGGACCCUAGUCAUAGUGCAAACAAAAUUGGCACUUGGUACAAAUUGACAAAGAAGAACACUAGCACUUGUGGCUCAAAGGGACCAGGAGCAAUUCCUGGGCACAGACCAGAAGAGCAGUAACCACAUCUCACAAGAUUAUAUCAUCUUGGAAAUGUCAAAAACUUCCAGAUUCCCAGAAUUCACUCACUAAACAGUAGGACAAAAAAGCUUGAAUCUUAGGAUGAUGCCUCCCCACCCCCAGAUGAACUGAACUUAAUAUUAAUAUAAAGCUCAAAGUCAAGAAAUGGGCUGAAAAAAAAUGAGCAUAUAACAACAAAGAACUUGAUCAUAAAAGGUAACUUAAAUGUCAGGGAAAACCAAGAUAUAAACUCAGAAGAAGACAACAACAGCUACCAAAAAAAAGCCUCAAAGAAAAAGAAUUUCUGGAACACUUAAAGAAAUAGAUGAGUGAUAGAAGGGAAACCCAGAAAAGAAAUGCAACUGAUCCAAGAAAAUUAUGAAAAGACAGUUUGGUAAAAGAGGCACAAAAAUACUGAAGAAAAUAUUUUUAAAAAACAGAGUUGACCAAAUGGUAAAAAAAAAAGUAACAAAAAUCCACAGAAGAGGACUGAAAAAGCAAAAUUGACUAAGUUGGGGGGAGGGAAAGGUGACAAAAACUCACUGAAGAACUCCUUAAAAAGCAGAAUUGGUCAAAUGGGCAAAAGAGGUACAAAAUUUCAUUGAAGAAAAGAAUUUCUUAAAAAUUUGGCAAGGGGAACUAAUUACUUAUGAGACAUCAAGAAAAAAAAUUAAGUCAAAAGUAAAAGUCAAAAGAAUUUAAAAAUAAAAAAAUGUGUGAAAUAUAUAAGACAAAUAA